AGCAAGGUUGGCAAUGUGCUGGUACAGAGGAAUCUUCUUGAUGAUAGCUCCAGCUUUGCAAAUGGCCAGUGACACAGCCAGGAUUGCAUUAGCACCAAGCUUCUGCUUGCACCACCCCCACUCAUUUUUGGUUCCAUCAAGCUGCUGAACCAUGAAGUUAUCAAGCUCAGCCUGUGACGUAGGGUCCUUGCCAAUCAGAGCUGGGGCAAUAACCGAGUUCACAUUGUCGACAGCCUUGGAAACACCCUUUCCCAAGUAAUCAGAUCCACCGUCCCUCAAUUCGAGAGCUUCAUAGACACCAGUUGAUGCACCACUGGGAACUGCAGCCCUUGCAAAGGUUCCAUCUGAGCAGCACACAUCGACCUCGACGGUGGGGUUGCCCCUGCUGUCGAAGAUCUGGCGCGCCUUGACGGACACGAUCGUCGCCGCCAUGGGAGGAG
rnacentral:misc_RNA from 1 species